CGUCUAAUACUGGAUACGAAACUGGCCCGCAUGGGCAUGGUUUGGAAAGUUUUUCGGUUUGGGAUGGGCUCGCGGCCUAUCAGCUUGUUGGUGAGGUAAUGGCUCACCAAGGCGACGACGGGUAGCCGGCCUGAGAGGGCGACCGGCCACACUGGGACUGAGACACGGCCCAGACUCCUACGGGAGGCAGCAGUGGGGAAUAUUGCACAAUGGGCGAAAGCCUGAUGCAGCGACGCCGCGUGAGGGAUGACGGCCUUCGGGUUGUAAACCUCUUUCAGCAGGGAAGAAGCGAAAGUGACGGUACCUGCAGAAGAAGCACCGGCUAACUACGUGCCAGCAGCCGCGGUAAUACGUAGGGUGCGAGCGUUGUCCGGAAUUAUUGGGCGUAAAGAGCUUGUAGGCGGUUUGUCGCGUCUGCUGUGAAAAUCCGGGGCUCAACCCCGGACUUGCAGUGGGUACGGGCAGACUAGAGUGUGGUAGGGGAGACUGGAAUUCCUGGUGUAGCGGUGAAAUGCGCAGAUAUCAGGAGGAACACCGAUGGCGAAGGCAGGUCUCUGGGCCACUACUGACGCUGAGAAGCGAAAGCAUGGGGGAGCGAACAGGAUUAGAUACCCUGGUAGUCCAUGCCGUAAACGUUGGGCGCUAGGUGUGGGACUCAUUCCACGAGUUCCGUGCCGCAGCUAACGCAUUAAGCGCCCCGCCUGGGGAGUACGGCCGCAAGGCUAAAACUCAAAGGAAUUGACGGGGGCCCGCACAAGCGGCGGAGCAUGCGGAUUAAUUCGAUGCAACGCGAAGAACCUUACCAAGGCUUGACAUAUACCGGAAACAUCCAGAGAUGGGUGCCCCUUUUAGGUCGGUAUACAGGUGGUGCAUGGUUGUCGUCAGCUCGUGUCGUGAGAUGUUGGGUUAAGUCCCGCAACGAGCGCAACCCUCGUUCUAUGUUGCCAGCACGUUAUGGUGGGGACUCAUGGAAGACUGCCGGGGUCAACUCGGAGGAAGGUGGGGAUGACGUCAAAUCAUCAUGCCCCUUAUGUCUUGGGCUUCACGCAUGCUACAAUGGCCGGUACAAAGGGCUGCGAAACCGUAAGGUGGAGCGAAUCCCAAAAAACCGGUCUCAGUUCGGAUUGGGGUCUGCAACUCGACCCCAUGAAGUCGGAGUCGCUAGUAAUCGCAGAUCAGCAACGCUGC
rnacentral:rRNA from 1 species